CCGAAUAUCACGUCAGAAGCGGUCGAACAACCAAGAGCCGUUCCUAGCCACUGGCAAUUUGUAAUUACUGCACGUCAUAGGUCACACAGAAUGACUGUUCACAACAGGGACUGAUUUCACUCCGGGUGGCUAAAAUGAACAAGAUUCAUGAACAUAGGCGUUGUGGGCUGAGAGCUAAAGGAACAAACAACUGCAAGACGAUGGAUUUUCAACGAAGCACAGUUCGAUUUUACUUUAUCAGUCAGAUAAAGGGCACGGGGCUGAUAAGUGGGUGGAGUGGAUCUUCGCUUGGUGAAACAUGAGAGCACGACGCCUGUCACAGCAGUAAACAGCGCAGCUACAGCGAAACGUUUGACGUGUGUGCGGCAAAGACAUGAUCAUGAGGAGGGCGGAGUGGAAAGGAGGCGUACUUCAAAAGGGUCUGACCAAUACGUACAUCUGUUACAAAGGUCCAGCCAUGAUGGGUGUGAUACUCCAGAAUCGCCUCCCUUCACGGUUAGGAGGUCUGUCUGACAUCCGGGUUUCCCUCCCGGAAGAGAGAAGUCUGUCGUGGGGACUGGACCCUGUGAGGUUAACAAAAAUCAAGAAGCAUUAAUACAAUUUUUGUAAAUGCCAUUUUCAUAACAUUCUGUUAUAUGAAUGAAUGGAUCAAAGAAUGCAUGAAUGAAUGAUAUUUUAUUAAGGCGCCAUGAGUUCUAUGUCUUUGUAUCUGAAACAACACGUCGCUUUAGACAGCAUUGUACAGAACAGUUGCAUACGUUUGAACAGAAAGAAAAGUAACAAAAACUAGAACUCUUUGAACUGGUGGACAUAUUGAAAAAAAGUUAUUCGCGUAGAAUUUUGCGUAGAAAUAUUUCAAAGGUAAUAUUUCUAUCCAAGCAUUGCUCCCUAUUACCAUUCAAUACUGUUAUGUGCUCUAUAAAAUGACUAAUCUAAAUUGAAAACUAUGAAAGAAUAUGUUUCGAAGUAUAUU